CGCACACAUUUAUCGUCGCACAAAGGGCGCUCGCUCGCGCAUGCCACGUCGGAAGAGGCGGACUGUGCAGCGCAGCCAAUGGGGAGUGAUGACACUAUUUUGUCGAUCAAUAUUUUUGGCUGGGCGCAGCAAAGGAGGCCACAUACACGCGGCCCAGCCCAGCACUCCAUGCUCUCUCCAUCCCCAUACGCAACCUCUCCUCUUCUCGUUUCCCCUCUGCCUCACCGCCGCCACUGCUUCCUCUUCACCCCCUGCAUCCUCUCCCCUCCGUUGGUGCGGCCACACGAAAAACGGCGGCGAUGACGAGGGUCGGUCCUUGGCGCAUACCCACGCCCCCGGUCUGUGGCAGUGACGGAUCUCUUCGUCUCACGGGGCCAGGCCUCCCGUCUGUGCCGCGACGGCGCUGGCAUGGAGACCUGGGCUCAGGCAGCCUCCACAAUUUUGGGUGCGCCGGCGAGGUGUCUUCUGCAGCGGCUGGCGGGUGUGUCAGUUCACUACUCAUCUCGUCCAUCUCCAAGCCUCCAAUAUGGUAAGUCCUCAAUUCCUCUUCCUCAGUUCCUCACAUUGUCAAUCUUUCGUGGUUUGAUUGAGUUUCAAAAAGGAAAAGUCUUGUUUUGAUUGAGGUUCAAAAUGAAGUAGAAAAAGCUUGGUUCAGUUUUGGUUGUCAUGGAUCCUUACCUGUAUUCAUGGGCGGAUCUAACUUAAAUGCAUGUUUCUAUGCACUAUGGAUGUUUAAAUUUGAUUGUCGCUGGGUGCUGUAGCAUGUACUGAAGUCUGAACUGUUGUUCUUAUGUGUUUUGGGUAAUUUGGGUGACGAAUUUGAUGCUUAGGUUAAAUGUUUGUGGGUUUCUUGGGGGAAAAUAGUGGUAGUUAAUUUAUUGGCAUCGGUCAGCAGUUAGCACUGCUGGUUUAGGAUCUGCAUCGUUAAGGUCUUUAGCUAAUUGCUCUGCUAUCUGCAAUCUUCAAAAGCAAAAUGAAGCCUGGAGCAUAACAGAGGAAACUAGAUUAAAAAAACAGUACCGCAGGAGCAAAACGGUGCAGCGGAUGAUGCCAACGUGAAUGACGAUUAACUUCUCUGACCUUGUGGUAGGCUGAAUCUGAAUCACAUUAAUGGGUGACCUUUCUCGUAAUCCUUUUUCUGAAAGCAUUAAACAAUGGCUUAGACUGGCAUUUUGGUAGUUGUGUAAGCUGAAACAUGAAGCUAAGCUGAACAAUUUACUGUCCUUUUUUCGCAUGAGAUCACAUUUUGGUAGUUGCAAAGCCUAAACCAUGAUGCUUUUUGCUGCUUCUGUAGUCUCUAAGGAAGUUGUAAGAUUAUAUACUUAAGCUAAGUUUCUUCUGCUUCAAUAAAACACAGGUUGGUAGUUGCAUAACUUGAACUAUGAUGCUUUCUUGAUGCUGUUGUCGUCUCUAAUGGAAUUGCGAGAUAAUUUAGUUAAUCUCAAUGGUCUGCACUCUAAAAAAAUCAUAAGAGCCAUUUAGAAGAAGAUAGGUUACUAUUAUACAUUGGCCAUGUAAUGUACAUAUUAAGGCAACAGACAAAAUUUAAUUGUGAUACUUCAGAUUUGCAGAGUUUUUUGUUGUUGAAAUUUCAUCCAGGUCAUCCUCCUCUCUGGUUUUGCUGAUUCCGACGGCAUCUGCUCGACCUACAGGUCCUUUUCCCUCUCUCUCUCACCAUGAUCUGCACUUCCUGUGAGUUUCCUUUUAUUUCGUCUCUCGUCAUCUCCACAUGAUUCUCGCAUAUUGUUGUAUUGGCUUGAGCUUGUGGUACCUGCAGUUUAUACCGGAACUUAAUCAUCUGGUCAGGAUUCCAUGCCCUUUUUUCUUGAGCUGAUUUACUGCUUAAUAUCUGAUGGGUAGUGCAUUCUUUUGGUUGAAAAUUAUAUUGUUUUAUCACCCCAUUGGCAAUUCAGUACCAAUAACAGGAAUUUACUUUGCAGGAUAUCUGUGACAUUUGUUCGCAUUGGGUGUCAAUGCUGGCGAUGAAAAUAUUAUUAAUGCUCUUAUUGGGGUGUCAGUGUUGGAAGCUGCUCAUGAGAAAUAUAACUUGAAGGUCCUCUGCAGUGCUACUUUUUUAUUUACUGAUUUUGGUUUUAGUUAAGAACAAUAGGCAGUGAUUCCAUGCUUGUACUUGACCUCAUGUGCUUCCUUUGACUUGAUAUCUCCUGUUUUAACUGUGAGAGUAAUUAGUCGCAUCAUAUAUCACAAGGAAUUCUACUAACCAUGUAAAAGGCUUAAGGACAAAUUGAGUACAACUCUAUCUGAAUUUUUUUGUACACUGAAGCAGUUUCUAAGGUUUCAUCUUCACCAUCAUCAGUCAUAUCAAAGACAGGUUUCCUGACAACUAGAUACUUUAACUUUUAUAGAUUGUAUCAUGGUCUCAGUGAAAACUUCAAUAAUUAUAUCUUUUAGUCAUGUGUAAUUUUGUCCUUCUUUCAUCUGCUUGGCUGAAAAUCAUUUGUAGUUGUGUAAACUGCUUGAUUUUAUCCCCUUUCUUGCGAAAAAUGGUUUGCUUGCAGAAUAUGCCCAUUAUUAAGAUAAUGUCUUAUGUUGAUAGGUAAGUUCAAAAUUGGGUAGAGAUAUAUCAUUGCUACCUUUCCCUCCUUGUACACCUCCUUUGAUUUUGCAUCCUGUUAAAAUUUUUGGUUAAAUUUUGUAGCAUGUUGACUUAAUACAGUACAAGACAUACUUACCUAAAAUUUGAUACACAUGAGCUAAUUGUGUGACCUUUUCCCUAACAUUUUGACAGAGGAGCUAAUUCUGUAGCGUGAUCUAUGAUUUCUGCUUCAACGCUCAACUUAUCAAGUCAACAAAUGUUCACUUUCAGAUCGGCCGAUGAGGCGGAUGCCUGGAGGCGGUGGACCAUGGAGGAAAGGAGGCCAUCCAUGGUGCGCGCAUCCCCCACACUCGCUCGUCUUUUCCUCCUCGGCUCCGCGGACGCCGGGUGCUCGGGCAUGGCCGCCGCCAUGCCCUGCUCCUGCUGGCCUUCAUCAAAAGCGGAUAACUGAGGGCUCUUCUGUUAUCAAGCUGCUUCUUUUUUGUGCCAACAGUUGCAAGUUAACUUAUUAAUAGUUGGAUACGGGCAUAUCUCAGAUUUUGAGAUUGGACAAAAUACUGAAUAAAAUGGUAACUAGAGGAAAACAAUUGCUCCUGAUACAUCAUAUCUGUAUGAUAUUGUUGCUAUAAGUCUCGGGAGGCGCGCACAUCGAGGCCUGCACACUACAGAAACAUUAUAGUCAUUUAGUUUUCUUUCUUUGAAGUGCUAUUUCUCUGUUUCUUUCCUAAUAGUGGAACAAAAUUACCGUUUCUUGGGCGUCAUGUCACAAGGAGGACGUCGGACUGCCCAUUUUAGUGCACCAUGCCACAAGUUCCAGAAUAUUAUUUUGUCUCCUAAUUAAUGAUUUUGCGACUACUUUCAUUUAACAAGGCUUAUGUGUGCAUAAGUUUGUUAGUGAAUCUGGGAGAUGUAGCUAAAUAUAGAAUAAAAUGUGCUUCUUUGCAUUAGGCAGAUGGAACUAUUCAGUUUAUACUUGUUGUUAAUCUUCUGUGUAUUGUGUAUGGUGCAUUCCUUAUUUGGUUUGCACACCACAGAGUAAACUGAAAUAAGGUAACUUGCAUUUUGUCAAGGAGGUUUGGUUCUAUUUUUUUUCUAUGAAAAAAUUGGUUCUCGACUUCUAUGCCAUCUUUCGUUGUUACAGGUAUGAAGCCUUGUUUUACUAUCCUCGGGAUAAACAUGUUUCAGAUACUAAACAAGGGAACAUCCAUGCCCUUCUGUGAUGUUAACCAUGUUAACCAUCUUACGCCAGGGCCGACGAGGAAGAGGACCGGCGGAGUGGGGUUCGACAAGGUGGCGGUGGUUACUUUGUAUAUCCUGUUGGUUUGUGGUUAUGUAGUUCCUAUAGCUGUAACUUUUGCGCAUUCAUAAGGCCUUUAUAGAAUGCUAAAAGCUUCAGACCUUUGCAUCAACCAAAGCUUACUCUUAGAUACUUGGUUUAAGUUAAAUUUGCUCCAAGUAAUUAAGGAUAUUAGGCCUCUACAAGAAAAGUAAGAAUCUGAAUCCGUAAGUAAUUAUAACCACUCAAGUGUGAUAUUCUUGUGUUGCUUAAAUUUCCAGUUAAGAUAUCUUUUUGAUAUAGAUUGCCAGGUUCCGUUCUCACAUAAAACUCCCAGUUUUGUGCUCAGCAUGUACCUGUAUAUGAUGUUUCUGCUAGAAGCUCUGCUUACUUUGAUGUCCAUCUCUUUUUCUGAAAAAGUCACUAACAGUUUGUUUGGCUGAAUAUCUUAUGUCAACUGGAUUCCAUCUCUAUUUCUGUAAAUCUCUUUCCUGAAAAGGUCAGUGACAAGGUGGUGUGGAGUGAGGGGAUGUAGAGAUGGAUGAGGACGUUGGCAGGAAGUAGUUGCAGCUCGACGGCCGGAAGCAGCAGCUCGCCCUCUGCUAGGUCUUCACCUCCGCCCUUAGUCUACCUUUAGCAGCGGCCAGUUAUACUCAGCUUCGUUGCUCCCACUCCUGUUCCUCGCUCUUUCUUAUAUAGGUUUCCAUUUAAUGGCAGCUCUCUCUCCCUUUUCCAUCUCUCUGUUUUGUAGAUAGCAGAGCAACCUAUCAUAUAUACACACUGAAAUUGAUCUGUUGUAAGCUUAUUCAGAUUUUAUUAAUUUCUUAUUGAUUCA